AUCCAGCUGAUGAGUUCUAAAUAGGAUGAAAUGUACAUUUUGGAU
rnacentral:hammerhead_ribozyme from 1 species